UACCAGCUCUCCGAGUGGUGUGGAUGUUUAUUGGGCCUAAAGCAUCCGUAGCUGGCUGGGCAAGUCCCCUGUUAAAUCCACCGAUUUAAUCGUUGGCGUGCGGGGGAUACUGUUCGGCUAGGGGACGGGAGAGGCCGACGGUAUUCUCGGGGUAGGGGUGAAAUCCUAUAAUCCCGGGAAGACCACCAGUGGCGAAGGCUGUCGGCUAGAACGCGCCCGACGGUGAGGGAUGAAAGCUGGGGGAGCGAACCGGAUUAGAUACCCGGGUAGUCCCAGCUGUAAACGAUGCAGGCUAGGUGUUUGGGCGGCCACGUGCCGGCUCUAGUGCCGCAGAGAAGUCGUUAAGCCUGCCGCCUGGGGAGUACGGCCGCAAGGCUGAAACUUAAAGGAUUGGCGGGGAGCACCACAAGGGGUGAAGCUUGCGGUUU
rnacentral:rRNA from 1 species